rnacentral:rRNA from 1 species
GAUGAACGCUGGCGGCGUGCCUAAUACAUGCAAGUCGAGCGAACGGACGAGAAGCUUGCUUCUCUGCUGUUAGCGGCGGACGGGUGAGUAACACGUGGAUCACCUACCUAUAAGACUGGGAUAACUUCGGGAAACCGGAGCUAAUACCGGCUAAUAUUUUGAACCGCAUGGUUCAAAAGUGAAAGACGGUCUUGCUGUCACUUAUAGAUGGAUCCGCGCUGCAUUAGCUAGUUGGUAGGGUAACGGCUUACCAAGGCAACGAUGCAUAGCCGACCUGAGAGGAUGAUCGGCCACACUGGAACUGAGACACGGUCCAGACUCCUACGGGAGGCAGCAGUAGGGAAUCUUCCGCAAAGGGCGAAAGCCUGACGGAGCAACGCCGCGUGAGUGAUGAAGGUCUUCGGAUCGUAAAACUCUGUUAUUAGGGAAGAACAUAUGUGUAAGUAACUGUGCACAUCUUGACGGUACCUAAUCAGAAAGCCACGGCUAACUACGUG